rnacentral:lncRNA from 1 species
UCUGGCCGAGCUGCAGCUGAGGCAAAACAUCUUCAAAUUUCACAAACUUCACCUCAAAAAUCUUGCUCAAACCUCCAUAGAUUCACACCAAAUUUCACAUACACUUAGCUCUACACUUGGACAACACUUUGAGCUGUAAAAGGGAGGAGCUUUCACGGUUUUCUUCAGGCUUCAAAGGGACCGAAAAUUCUGUUUAGACAAACCAUCAAAGUAGGUAAUGAUCUAAUACCUUAAACUUGUCCUAUGGAAGUUAAAUUACACUUAUGAGCUUGAAUUUGCAUAUAGAUUGUGGUUGUUGUUGGAGAAAUUGGAAAAGUGGACUCUAUGAAUUCCCAUUCUUGGGUUGCUGCUGAUUUUGUUCUUAAUGAUGUUUAUAAUGUGGAAUUAGUGUUUAAAUCAGUGGUUUGUUGAUGGAAAAGUGAUAGAAACUCACGUUAGGUGCAAAAGGCCAAAUCUGACCAUUUUACCCCUGCUCUGUUCAGUCACUUUAAUGCCGAAAUUUGAGAAUUUAAUGGCUUGAUUGUGUUGUUUAUAUGUUGUAGUAGUUGUGUAAAAAUUUUCAUUGAAAAAUACUGAGUUUUGGUUGGUCAAACGAAUUUAUUCCCAAAGCUAGUAAUCUGGAAAACAGUUUCGUCGUAAUCCAGACCAGUGUUCGUAUUUCGUCCAUAACUCCGUACUCCGACGUCGAAAUCAAGUGCCGUUAGCGGCAUUUGAAACUAUACAUUCCCAUUUUUCCAACGGUAUAUAAUGAACGUUCUGGUUCCAUGUGUGUGAACCGCACCACUCAUCUGAAUUCAGCUGCCCUGUUUCGCCGUUCUGCCGAAAUGAUUUGAUGAUACUGCAACUUUAGGCUUAAUUUCGAGCUUGUUGCAUGCUGAAACUUAAAAUGAUUUCUUCUGUGAAAUUAUAGUCCUAUGCAUGUAUUUUCUAACACUAUCAACCAUGCUCAAAUCCGAGUUAAAUUGAGUGAGUUAUGAUCAAAAUACGGUGACUGUUUUGUUCUUGAAAGCCUUGGAUUUGGACAGAUUUGACGUGACAUUUGUGGUGGUCUUACUAAAUGAAUUUCUUGAUACUAAAUGUAAGGCCCAAAACAACCAAUGCAAAGAUCAUAAACGAAACAAUAAGUAAAUAAAAAGGAAAGGAUUGCAAACCAAUUAACUACCCAACUCCUCUUGAGCUUGUAGAUUAAUUGAAACAAGCUACUUCAAGUUGAUGAAUUACAAUCACUCUUGUGUACAAUGGAAGGUUCACCUCCUCCUUGCCCCAAGCAGCACUCGGUCAAGCCAGGACGUUUUACUAUCCCUCAGGACAACCCUCACAAAGUUACACUCAUGAAAGAUUCACUCACAAAUGAAAAGCUUACAAUGAACCUCACACCACUAAAACUACAAAUAUUCUUUUUGGAGUAUUUUCUCACUAAAAUCUCUCUAGAUCUUUUGUAUCUUCAGUGUGCCAAAGUUGUUUUAAGUGUCUGACCAACCACUAUUUAUAUAGGACCAAGAAAGUGCCUCAUUAAUGCUUCCAACGGAUAGAAAGUAGCUGAACAGUCAACUAGCCGUUGGCAGUGUCGGACGUCCGAUAGCUCUGUUUUAUGCGUCCGACAGUAGGCAGAGAGUUUAAGACUUUUUCUUCAAUUCUUUCGGACGUCCGAUAGGCUGGUUUUCUGCGUCCGAAGGUAUGAUGUAGAACUGGAAAUUUUUCUUCAAUUCCUUAGGACGUCCGAUAGGCUAGUUUUCUGCGUCCGAAGAUACUCAAUGGUUGUCGGACGUCCGAUGCAGUCUUUUUGAGCGUCCGACAGUUUCAGCAUACUUUGUCUUCUUCCAAUUGCACUUGUUCAUGGAAUCAAAUAAUUUCAUAACUGAAAAUAUAUCUUGAAGAAAUAUUAGUAUCAUCCAUUUGUUUUGUAAACAUCAAAAGAUAGGGAUCAAAAUCAACAAUCUCCCCCUUUUUGAUGAUGACAAAACAAUGGAUGGAAAGAAACAAAAAUAAGUAUAAGCUCCCCCUCAAUCAUUGCAACCAAAACUUUUAAGAGCCAAACUCAUAAUCUCAAAAUAACUUCCCCUUACAAAUUGCAUCCAUUUCUCCCCCUUUUUGUCAUCAUAAGACUAAAAAUCAACUACUAUAAUCCAGCAACAAUAACAGAGAAUUCAAUAUUCCAAGAAAAAAUAGAGAAAUGACAGCAAUCACAGCAAAUCAUCAUGAGAUCAGCAUUAUUCUUUUAUCUCUCUUUUUGACAUCAUAUAGAUUCAGUAGUAUUCAAAGAUAUCAGCGAAAACUCAGAUCAAAGUAUCAAAAGAAAAAAUAUUCUGAACAAGAAUCACUGCAAUGAUUAGACAAAACCUCCUACUUGUUAAAAUUAGCAUCAUGUCUAACUAUCCGCAUGCAUUUCAUGCCUUUUUUUAUAUUCUUUCUCACAUAGCAAUCACUUUUCAUAUGACCUUUUUGACAACAGAAAUUACACAUAAUCAGGGAAUUAUUCAUAUGAACAGGUUUAAUAAAUCUUACUUGUCUUCUCCUAUGGAAAGCAAACUCAUUUGCAGCAGAAUUUAUCUUAAAAUGAGGUUUUGAUUUAUUACUUUGAAAACAGUCCUGUUUUUUAUGUUGAAGCAACUCAUUUAAAUCAUCCAUUCUUCUUUUCAAAUCAUCUUGUCCCCUUUUGAACAUUUCACAAAAACUUGUUUUUCUAUCAAGAUCCAAGUGUAAAGCAGUCUCACUUUUUUUGAAGUAAUCAUUUUCAGCUUUCAACUUUUUGUUUUGUUGAAAAAGAUUUGCAUUAUCUCGAAGCAAAAAACUAAUUUUCUAUUUUAAUUCCUUGUUUCUAACAUAAGAUUCUUUCAAACUAUCAUGCAAUUUUAUAAUGAAAGAUUCAAGAUCAUCAUCAUCUUCAUCAUCACUUUCACAUUGAGAGCUAGAAGAUGUUACCUCAUCAUCUCCAAUGGCCAUGAAAGCCAAUUGAGCAGAUUGAUCUUCCUCUUCAAUUUCACCAUCGGAAUUGCAUUCAUUCCAUGUGAAUUGAAAUUUGUUUAUUCUUGGUUUUCUUCCUUCUUGCUUCUUCAUCACUGGACAGUCACUUGCAUAGUGUCCAGAUUGGCCGCAUUCAAAGCACUGAUCAGUUUGCUUUUUGUUGAACUCUAGCUUCCCUUUGUUUCUCGAGUUGUUGAACUGAUUUGGGAAUGAAUUGCUAGGUCCACCAUUUCUGAAUCUCCUCUUGUUGAGUAUUCGUUUGAAACUUUUUGUGAUGAGAGUGAUAUCAUUGUCAUCACCUUCCACAUCUUCUUCAUCUAGGGAGGCAGAAUCAUCUUCAUCUUGUGAGGCUUUUAGAGCAAUAUUCUUUCGCACUUUUGCAUCCUCUUCCUCUUGCACCUUAGUCUUAAGUUUCAACUCAUAAGAGGUAAGAGAAUUAAUAAGAGAUUCAAUAGGCAUAGUAUUCAAAUCUCUAGCCUCCUCAAUAGCAGUCACUUUAUUUUCCCAAUCAUUGGACAAGGCAUUCAGGAUUUUUCUAUUUUUCUCACCAAGAGAAUAUUCUUUUUCCAGCACCUCUAAAUCUUUAAUGAGAUCAUUGAAUCUACAAUACAUUUGAUCAACAUUUUCAUGAGGUUCCAUCUUGAAAGAUUCAUACUUUGUAACUAGAGUGGACUUCUUUUGUUCUCUAACAUUCUCACUACCUUCAUGAAUUUCUUUCAGUUUGUCCCAAAUUUCUUUAGCUGACUUGCAACCCUUGACUCUAAUAGAUUCAUUUGAGUCUAAUGCACAAUAUAACACAUUCAUGGCUUUUGCAUUUAAGGUGAGAUGAGCUCUAUCCACAGCAGUCAGUUCACUUCUUGUUUUCGGUCUAGAUGCAUGAGUAUUUUCAUCUAUAAGAGAGGCAUCAUAUGGACCUUCACUAAUAAUAAACCAUAAUUCGAUAUCAAUAGAUUGCAAAAAGAUAAUCAUUCUUUCUUUCCAACUCAUAUAAUUUGACCCAUUAAACACAGGUGGUCUAAUAACAGAAUGUCCUUCAAAAAACAUAGCAUUAUUGGUUGUCAUCUUUACUCCAAAGCCGAUUGAGCUUAAUCUCUAGGAGACCAAGCUCUGAUACCAAUUGUAAGGCCCAAAACAACCAAUGCAAAGAUCAUAAACGAAACAAUAAGUAAAUAAAAAGGAAAGGAUUGCAAACCAAUUAACUACCCAACUCCUCUUGAGCUUGUAGAUUAAUUGAAACAAGCUACUUCAAGUUGAUGAAUUACAAUCACUCUUGUGUACAAAGGAAGGUUCACCUCCUCCUUGCCCCAAGCAGCACUCGGUCAAGCCAGGACGUUUUACUAUCCCUCAGGACAACCCUCACAAAGCUACACUCAUGAAAGAUUCACUCACAAAUGAAAAGCUUACAAUGAACCUCACACCACUAAAACUACAAAUAUUCUUUUUGGAGUAUUUUCUCACUAAAAUCUCUCUAGAUCUUUUGUAUAUUCAGUGUGCCAAAGUUGUUUUAAGUGUCUGACCAACCACUAUUUAUAUAGGACCAAGAAAGUGCCUCAUUAAUGCUUCCAACGGAUAGAAAGUAGCUGAACAGUCAACUAGCCGUUGGCAGUGUCGGACGUCCGAUAGCUCUGUUUUAUGCGUCCGACAGCAGGCAGAGAGUUUAAGACUUUUUCUUCAAUUCUUUCGGACGUCCGAUAGGCUGGUUUUCUGCGUCCGAAGGUAUGAUAUAGAACUGGAAAUUUUUCUUCAAUUCCUUAGGACGUCCGAUAGGCUAGUUUUCUGCGUCCGAAGAUACUCAAUGGUUGUCGGACGUCCGAUGCAGUCUUUUUGAGCGUCCGACAGUUUCAGCAUACUUUGUUUUCUUCCAAUUGCACUUGUUCAUGGAAUCAAAUAAUUUCAUAACUGAAAAUAUAUCUUGAAGAAAUAUUAGUAUCAUCCAUUUGUUUUGUAAACAUCAAAAGAUAGGGAUCAAGAUCAACACUAAACACCUACCAAAUGUACCAUGAAUGUUUCUUAAACUUUCCUUUCACAUAUGAACCAUGAUUGGAGGAUUUUCUUAGCCAAACGAUUGGAUUUGGGAAGAAAAGGAUUAAGGGCAGAUUGCCUUGAGAAUUUUUCCAAACUUUGGUUGAUUGGUUAACCACCUUUCCGAAGGUAUUUUUUCACGAAAUUUGAUAGAGAGAUAUCCUUCAUAUACGAGUACCAUACUACAAAAUUUGGUGUCAAUUCAAGUCCGUUUCGACACUUAACAAAAGGUCCAAAGUCGGAACCAAAUCUGAAAAUUUUGUAACAGUCUUGAAUUUUUCCCAACUUUGAGCUAUCAUAUCUUGGUGCUCGAAACUCCGAUUCUUGAUCCGUUUGUUCUGCCCUAAACCUUACUUGUACCUCUAAUUGAUCUAUAAAUUUCAAGGGCUGGUUUGCAACGAGUGAAUUCUGCCAAAUUUCCAAAGUUAGCGAAAAAUCAACCCGACUCAAUCCUGGGUGAUCUGGGACAGCAACUUUAAACUCAUUUUUGAAUACCUUCCAUUUAGAUUCGUGGAACAGUGUCUUCUAAGAACUUUUAGUAAUUUCCAAGAGGUUUCUAACGGUAUAAAUUUUUCCAAUUUUAGACUUGUAUCGAGUAAGAUACGAUUUUUCAAAGAUCCAUAUCAAAACUGAAAUUUUCCAACUUUCAAGGAAAUAGAGAUUUCCAAGAACUUUUUAUUCUUUCGACAUUAUGCAAACAUUUUAACCUCGAUUUCCAAGAUAAAAACCCAAAUGCUCCUGUACUUGAAGAAACUCUAAUUGAACCUCGAUUUACAAGUAAUUGAGGUUCGAUUUCGUGGAAUUUCCUUAGAUUGUACUAGUGUACAAUCUUCCUUGAUAAUUGGGAUAUAUGAAUGAUAAUACGUUAUUAUUUGUCCAGGCGCACACGAGGACCUUCAAGAGGAUCCUACCGUG